UGAUUGUCAGGCCACCUUAAGCCACAGUACGGAAGAAGCUGUGCUGCCUGUGAGCCCCGUCCAAGGACGUUAAAAGAAGAAGUCAGGCCUCAAAGCCACGGUUUGAGCAAACCGUGCUGCCUGUAGCUCCGUCGUGGGGACGUAAAACCUGGGAGGCUGCAAACUGUGGAAGCUGUACGCACAGUGUAGCAGACUAGUGGUUAGAGGAGACCCCUCCCAUGACACAACGCAGCAGCGGGGCCCGAGCACUGAGGGAAGCUGUAC
rnacentral:lncRNA from 1 species